GGGCGUAUGGCGAAAUUGGUAGACGCGCACGGUUCAGGUCCGUGAGCCGCAAGGCAUGGAAGUUCGAGUCUUCUUACGCCCA
rnacentral:tRNA from 1 species